GCCAGACUCCUACGGGAGGCAGCAGUGGGGAAUAUUGCACAAUGGGGGGAACCCUGAUGCAGCGACGCCGCGUGAGCGAUGAAGUAUUUCGGUAUGUAAAGCUCUAUCAGCAGGGAAGAAAAUGACGGUACCUGGCUAAGAAGCCCCGGCUAACUACGUGCCAGCAGCCGCGGUAAUACGUAGGGGGCAAGCGUUAUCCGGAUUUACUGGGUGUAAAGGGAGCGUAGACGGCGGUGCAAGCCAGAUGUGAAAGCCCGGGGCUCAACCCCGGGACUGCAUUUGGAACUGUGCUGCUAGAGUGGCGGAGAGGCAGGCGGAAUUCCUAGUGUAGCGGUGAAAUGCGUAGAUAUUAGGAGGAACACCAGUGGCGAAGGCGGCCUGCUGGACGAUGACUGACGUUGAGGCUCGAAAGCGUGGGGAGCAAACAGGAUUAGAUACCCGAGUA
rnacentral:rRNA from 1 species